rnacentral:rRNA from 1 species
ACAGGAUUAGAUACCCUGGUAGUCCACCCCGUAAACGUUGGGAACUAGUUGUGGGGUCCAUUCCACGGAUUCCGUGACGCAGCUAACGCAUUAAGUUCCCCGCCUGGGGAGUACGGCCGCAAGGCUAAAACUCAAAGGAAUUGACGGGGACCCGCACAAGCGGCGGAGCAUGCGGAUUAAUUCGAUGCAACGCGAAGAACCUUACCAAGGCUUGACAUACACGAGAACGCUGCAGAAAUGUAGAACUCUUUGGACACUCGUGAACAGGUGGUGCAUGGUUGUCGUCAGCUCGUGUCGUGAGAUGUUGGGUUAAGUCCCGCAACGAGCGCAACCCUCGUUCUAUGUUGCCAGCACGUAAUGGUGGGAACUCAUGGGAUACUGCCGGGGUCAACUCGGAGGAAGGUGGGGAUGACGUCAAAUCAUCAUGCCCCUUAUGUCUUGGGCUUCACGCAUGCUACAAUGGCCGGUACAAAGGGCUGCAAUACCGCAAGGUGGAGCGAAUCCCAAAAAGCCGGUCCCAGUUCGGAUUGAGGUCUGCAACUCGACCUCAUGAAGUCGGAGUCGCUAGUAAUCGCAGAUCAGCAACGCUGCGGUGAAUACGUUCCCGGGUCUUGUACACACCGCCCGUCAAGUCAUGAAAGUCGGUAACACCUGAAGCCGGUGGCCCAACCCUUGUGGAGGGAGCCGUCGAAGGUGGGAUCGGUAAUUAGGACUAAGUCGUAACAAGGUAACCAAGGGC